CCGGAUGUGGCUUCACUUUUAUUCGACAACUCAAGCAAAAUGGGAUAAAUACCACGAACUUUGGUGAAACUUUGAACAAUUGACGCCAUGUAGGUGUGCGUACACAAGGCCACGCGGCCGGUGAGACACCUUGGGCAUUCAGCCCAUUUGAGACUCCUCUGGGCAUUGAGGUUAUGUCUAACAAACGGCCCAUGGAGACGACAGUGUGGACAUUUUUGUAACAAGAUUUCGAACUCUGCUUUGAGGUUAUGGCGUGCAUCUGAUGGCUACUCCAGGCACAUGGUACUUCGUUGUGAAAACCAACCAAGCAAAUAUGUGGGAAUUUUAAAUGACUACCGAAUCUGUAACUGCACCUAUUUUAAAGACUUUCAUUAUGGCUUCAACUGGAUGGCAUUUGCUCAACAGCACUUGUGUUUAAGGCGCAUCAAUUGAAUACUAAAUAAAUCUAA